rnacentral:rRNA from 1 species
UUUAUGGAGAGUUUGAUCCUGGCUCAGGAUGAACGCUGGCGGCGUGCCUAAUACAUGCAAGUCGAGCGAACAGACGAGGAGCUUGCUCCUCUGACGUUAGCGGCGGACGGGUGAGUAACACGUGGGUAACCUACCUAUAAGACUGGGAUAACUUCGGGAAACCGGAGCUAAUACCGGAUAAUAUUUUGAACCGCAUGGUUCAAAAGUGAAAGAUGGCUCUG